UACGGGGGGGGCAAGCGUUGUUCGGAAUUACUGGGCAUAAAGGGCUCGUAGGUGGCCAACUAAGUCAGACGUGAAAUCCCUCGGCUUAACCGGGGAACUGCGUCUGAUACUGGAUGGCUUGAGUUCGGGAGAGGGAUGCGGAAUUCCAGGUGUAGCGGUGAAAUGCGUAGAUAUCUGGAGGAACACCGGUGGCGAAGGCGGCAUCCUGGACCGACACUGACACUGAGGAGCGAAAGCCAGGGGAGCAAACGGG
rnacentral:rRNA from 1 species